rnacentral:sRNA from 1 species
GCUGGGUGUGGUGGCACACUCCUGUAAUCCCAGCAGCUUAGGAAGUUGAGACAGGAGGAUUGAAAAUUCAAAGCCAGCCUCAUCUAAAAGUGAGGCACUAAGCAACUCAGUGAUAUCCUGUCUUUA